rnacentral:misc_RNA from 1 species
GUUGGUGAACCAGCGGAGGGAUCAUUAUCGAGUUUACAACUCCCAAACCCUUAUGUGAACAUACCUACUGUUGCUUCGGCGGACUCGCCCCGGCGUCCGGACGGCCUCGCGCCGCCCGCGGCCCGGACUCAGGCGGCCGCCGGAGACCCCUAAACUCUGUAUUAUCAGCAUUUUCUGAAUCCGCCGCAAGGCAAAACAAAUGAAUCAAAACUUUCAACAACGGAUCUCUUGGUUCUG